UACUCGAGUGGCGAACGGGUGAGUAACACGUGGGUGAUCUGCCCUGCACUUUGGGAUAAGCCUGGGAAACUGGGUCUAAUACCGAAUAUUUCCUUUUGGUCGCAUGGCUGGGAGGGGAAAGCUUUUGCGGUGUGGGAUGGGCCCGCGGCCUAUCAGCUUGUUGGUGAGGUUAUGGCUUACCAAGGCGACGACGGGUAGCCGGCCUGAGAGGGUGACCGGCCACACUGGGACUGAGAUACGGCCCAGACUCC
rnacentral:rRNA from 1 species